ensembl:lncRNA
AUGCAGGCCUAAAAGUAGCCUGAGGCUUGCUGUUGGGUGGGGCCACUCCCUAGGGCAGGCUGCCUGCCCUGGCUGAACUGGAUUAAAUCUGUGCUCUAGUGGGCGUGGCAGACCCCUGGGCUAACAGGCCAAGGGAAGAACCUCAAUGGCGCCCACCAGGGUCCCUGUCAGCACGCCUGGGCCAGCUCAGAACAACGGCCCCACCAAUGUCUCAGUCUCAGGAGAGGAUCCUCCUCUCACCAAGAUGCCCCCAGAGCCCACCAGGUGAGUUUUGUUUCACCAAAAGACUGUCAGCCUUCUCUCUGGUGAUUUUAGGUUGCUGCAAUGAGUGAGUUUGUGCGUGGGCCCUUUAAGACCCGGGUCUUUUCAGCUUUCGGCCAAUAGCUUUUCUGGGGGUGUUCCCACUACAGUCAAUAGCCAGCAAAGCCAGACAGCAAGAGCUGAGUCCGAAGGAUGCCUAUAGCAGUAUCGCCCCGACUCCGGACCUCACUCCUCCAGGGAGGGCUGCGUACUUUAGAGUGGCUCCCACCUGGACAGCUGAGAAGCUCCGCUGCCCCCAAAGGACGCCUGCCACAGCAUGGCUUUUGCCAAGUGGUGCCAUGUCCGCACCCGGGAUCAGAACUGGAGAACCCCAGGCCGCCGAAGCAGAGCGUGUGCACUUAACCGCUGGGCCACCAGGCCAGCCCCAAAUGGAGGAAUUUUGGACUGAGUGUUCAGAGAGAAAGGAACCCUCCUCUGCCAAGGAUUUGUGCCCUUAUAAAGGAGACCCCAAAGAGCCUCCUUGCCCCUUCUGCCACGUGAGGACAUAGCAAGAAGACGGCUGUCUGUGAACGAGGAAGCACCAGACGCUGCGCCUGCUAGCACUUUGAUCUUGGAUUUCCCAGCCUCGGAACUGUUGGAAAUAAGAGCUCGUUGUUUAAGCCACCCAGUCCAGGGAAGAUUAGCCCUGAGCUGACAUCUGCAGCCAAUCCUCCUCUUUUUGCUGAGGAAAUUUGGCCCUGAGCUAACAUCCAUGCUCAUCUUCCUCUAUUUUGUAUGUGGGAUGCCUGCUACAGGAUUGCUUGGUCUCUCAAGAUUCAAAAUAAAGUUAACUAAAGCUACAUUUCCUUGGUUCAGCACCACCCACAGCAUUUUAGACAGGGUAGUCAAUUUAAAUUUCCUGGGGAUUCACUCACUGAACCCAUGUGCUGAUGAUCAGUCACUUGGACUAUAUGUCAGCAUAUGUCAUGUCCUCUUCUGCUCUCUCCAGGCAUUGCAUGUGGAGCCAUUGAGGCCUGGUUGCUAUGGAAAUUUCCUCCACCAUUCCAAAGGCAAAUGGGGUGCCAUAUCAACCAAUAAAGAGUCAUCAAAUUUAACUGGGACAAAUACGUUUCUUCCAAAAUUGUGAAUCAAAUUUACAAAGCUGCGUAGUGUUAGGCUUUCAGUUGAUUAUAGACACUUCAAUGAUGGUUUUACUUUACCUAUGUAGGUAUGCCUGUGGGAUAGCACCACGUCCUGGAAAUCCUGGCGGGAAUCUGAAAGAUCUAGUAUAAAGUUGAAUUGUUUCCAAUGGAGCACAAACAUAUCAGAUUUUUUUUCUGGAAGAUGGACCUGCAUGCAAAAUCUCAACUUGAUUUUGAAGUGGCCAGACAUGGGAAAUAAUUGGGAAAAAUAAU